UGAACUAUCUGACCAUGCAUUGAUUGAA
rnacentral:piRNA from 1 species